rnacentral:rRNA from 1 species
CUGGCUCAGGAUGAACGCUAGCGGCAGGCCUAACACAUGCAAGUCGAGGGGCAGCGGGAGGUAGCAAUACCUGCCGGCGACCGGCGCACGGGUGCGUAACGCGUAUGCAACCUACCUUCAACAGGGGGGAUAACCCAGAGAAAUCCGGACUAAUACCCCGUAUAGUAGCGGGACCGCAUGAUCUUGCUACGAAAGCUUCGGUGGUUGGAGAUGGGCAUGCGUGACAUUAGCUAGUUGGCGGGGCAACGGCCCACCAAGGCUGCGAUGUCUAGGGGAGCUGAGAGGCUAAUCCCCCACACUGGUACUGAGACACGGACCAGACUCCUACGGGAGGCAGCAGUGAGGAAUAUUGGUCAAUGGACGGAAGUCUGAACCAGCCAUGCCGCGUGAAGGGAAAAGAAGGCCCUAUGGGUUGUAAACUUCUUUUGUGCGAGAGUAAUAAGGGCUUUGCGAAGUCCGAUGAGAGUAUCGUACGAAUAAGCAUCGGCUAACUCCGUGCCAGCCGCAGC